GACGAACGCUGGCGGCGUGCCUAAUACAUGCAAGUUGAGCGCUGAAGGUUGGUACUUGUACCAACUGGAUGAGCAGCGAACGGGUGAGUAACGCGUGGGGAAUCUGCCUUUGAGCGGGGGACAACAUUUGGAAACGAAUGCUAAUACCGCAUAAAAACUUUAAACACAAGUUUUAAGUUUGAAAGAUGCAAUUGCAUCACUCAAAGAUGAUCCCGCGUUGUAUUAGCUAGUUGGUGAGGCAAAGGCUCACCAAGGCGAUGAUACAUAGCCGACCUGAGAGGGUGAUCGGCCACAUUGGGACUGAGACAAGGCCCAAACUCCUUCGGGAGGCAGCCGUAGGGAAUCUUCGGCAAUGGACGAAAGUCUGACCGAGCAACGCCGCGUGAGUGAAGAAGGUUUUCGGAUCGUAAAACUCUGUUGGUAGAGAAGAACGUUGGUGAGAGUGGAAAGCUCAUCAAGUGACGGUAACUACCCAGAAAGGGACGGCUAACUACGUG
rnacentral:rRNA from 1 species